AGGGCACCACCAGGAGUGGAGCCUGCGGCUUAAUUUGACUCAACACGGGAAAACUCACCCGGCCCGGACACUGGAAGGAUUGACAGAUUGAGAGCUCUUUCUUGAUUCAGUGGGUGGUGGUGCAUGGCCGUUCUUAGUUGGUGGAGUGAUUUGUCUGGUUAAUUCCGAUAACGAACGAGACUCUAGCCUAUUAAAUAGAUCGUUGGCUUACAAACGCCGGCGAGACUUCUUAGAGGGACAGGCGGCGAUUCAGCCGCACGAAACAGAGCAAUAACAGGUCUGUGAUGCCCUUAGAUGUCCGGGGCCGCACGCGCGCUACACUGAAGUGAUCAGCGUGCAUUUUGAAACCUACUCUGUCAAGAGUGGGGAACCCAAUGAGCCUUCUUCGUGAUUGGGAUAGGGGAUUGUAAUUAUUCCCCUUGAACGAGGAAUUCCCAGUAAGCGCGAAUCAUAAGUUUGCGCUGAUUACGUCCCUGCCCUUUGUACACACCGCCCGUCGCUACUACCGAUUGAAUGUUU
rnacentral:rRNA from 1 species